UACGUAGGGGGCAAGCGUUAUCCGGAUUUACUGGGUGUAAAGGGAGCGUAGACGGCGAUGCAAGUCUGAAGUGAAAGGCGGGGGCCCAACCCCCGGACUGCUUUGGAAACUGUAUGGCUGGAGUGCAGGAGAGGUAAGUGGAAUUCCUAGUGUAGCGGUGAAAUGCGUAGAUAUUAGGAGGAACACCAGUGGCGAAGGCGGCCUGCUGGACCGCGACUGACGUUGAGGCUCGAAAGCGUGGGGAGCAAACAGG
rnacentral:rRNA from 1 species